GGCUGUAGUCUAGCCUGGUAGGACCUGGGCUUCCCAAGCCCGUAACCCGGGUUCAAAAGACAAACCCCUUUUAAGACA
rnacentral:tRNA from 1 species